CGGAUCGGUGCCGCGGCCGUGGGUGGCCGGCGCUUUCGGCGCCGCCGGUACCGCCGCGUUCCUGGCGCUGUGGUUCGU
rnacentral:tRNA from 1 species